AUGGUGCUUGCAGAAAUGCUUGCACGGCGGCGGCCUUAAAACGCGCCAAAUGGCACCCUUUGUUUACGAGUACCGUUCGUUUCCUCGGUGGGCUUGCCUGCCAUGAGGACCAACAAAAACCCUUUGUAGUAGCAGUAACUUCAGUUAAUAAUAAAUAUUA
rnacentral:misc_RNA from 1 species